rnacentral:rRNA from 1 species
UACAGAGGAGCCAAGCGUUGUCCGGAUUGACUGGGCGUAAAGCGCACGCAGGCGGACGCGCGCGUGGGGUGUGAAAUCUGGCCGCUUAACGGCCAGGCGCCAUCCCAUACGGCGCGUCUGGAGUGAUGCAGAGGUCGAUGGAAUUGCCGGUGUAGUGGUGAAAUGCGUAGAGAUCGGCAGGAACACCCGGGGGGAAGGCGGUCGACUGGACAUCUACUGACGCUGAGGUGCGAGAGCGUGGGGAGCGAACCGG